CGUAGGGUGCGAGCGUUAAUCGGAAUUACUGGGCGUAAAGGGUGCGCAGGCGGUCUUGCAAGUCAGGCGUGAAAUCCCCGGGCUUAACCUGGGAAUGGCGCUUGAAACUACGAGACUGGAGUAUGGCAGAGGGAGGUGGAAUUCCACGUGUAGCGGUGAAAUGCGUAGAGAUGUGGAGGAACACCGAUGGCGAAGGCAGCCUCCUGGGCCAAUACUGACGCUCAUGCACGAAAGCGUGGGGAGCAAACAGGAUUAGAUACCCUGGUAGUCCACGCCCUAAACGAUGAUGACUAGUUGUUGGAGGAGUUAAAUCCUUUAGUAACGCAGCUAACGCGCGAAGUCAUCCGCCUGGGGAGUACGGUCGCAAGAUUA
rnacentral:rRNA from 1 species